AUACGGAGGGUGCAAACGUUGUUCGGAAUUACUGGGCGUAAGCGCGCGUAGGCGGUUUGUUAAGUCAGAUGUGAAAGUCCACAGCUCAACUGUGGAAGUGCAUUUGAAACUGGCAGACUUGAGUACUGGAGGGGGUGGUGGAAUUCCCGGUGUAGAGGUGAAAUUCGUAGAUAUCGGGAGGAAUACCGGUGGCGAAGGCGACCACCUGGCCAGAUACUGACGCUGAGGUGCGAAAGCGUGGGGAGCAAACAGGAUUAGAAACCCCAGUAGUCC
rnacentral:rRNA from 1 species